GUUCGAGCGUCAUUACAACCCUCACGCCUAGCGUGGUAUUGGGCUCGCCCUGUAGGGCUUGCCUUAAAGUCAGUGGCGGCACCGUCUGACCCCUAAGCGUAGUAAUAUUUCUCGCUUCUGGGCGCUGGAUGGAGGCCUGCCAGGAAACCCCCACUUUACAGGUUGACCUCGGAUCAGGUAGGGAUACCCGCUGAACUUAA
rnacentral:misc_RNA from 1 species